UACGAAGGGGCUAGCGUUGAUUCGGAAUUACUGGGCGUAAAGCGCACGCAGGCGGAUUGAUAAGUCGGGGUGAAAUCCCGGGGCUCAACCUCGGAAGUUGCCUUCGAUACCGUUAGUCUUGAGUCCGGGAGAGGUGAGUGGAAUUCCGUAGUGGUAGAGGUGAAAUUCGUAGAUAUUAGGAAGAACACCAGUGGCGAAGGCGGCUCACGAUGGCCCGGUACGUGACGCGUCAUCGUGCGA
rnacentral:rRNA from 1 species